rnacentral:lncRNA from 1 species
UGUCGUUUGUAAUCGAAGGAUCCGCACGUCCUCGCGUCGGUUGCAUCGAUUUUUUAAAUUUUCUGAUGAAAAAGUGCAUUUAGUGUACACAAUUUAUGCGUAAUCUGUUACUAGUGCCCUGCUUAGCCUCCUGAAAAAGCGCGUUAUUAAUAGUACCACAACACCACACACUUCGUCCACACUCACACGAGCAUUGCUAGCUCUCUGUGUUGGUUAAUAAAAUUUCCUAAUUCAACGUUAGUGAAUUUCGUUAGCUGAUGCGGUUGGUUAUCAGUGUUUUUGUCGGUGUGGAUACCCGGAUUAGAUGACUCCAGAGCGCGGCGCGGCCUUCCCCAAGAGAGGAGACUUCUUGGGUCACCCCCUAACCCUGAUGUUCGGCCAUCGAUGACCUGUGUAGCAUGCAGAGGUACCCAAGGGAGUCACCACCCUCUGAUUUACGAGCUAGGUGUUCUAAUGCUAGAGGCUUCGGCCGGAUACAACCUGGCACCCAAGCUCCGAGAUUUCUUCGUGUACGUAUUCCGUGACCCUCGAAGGGGCAGGGGGCGGGAUAUCGGACACAUUGAAGAUGAUGAGGGGGGUCCGCCUGUAGGGGGUCCCGGUGGAUGUCCGUCCGACGGGUGACGAGGGUGACCCCAGACGAAGCGGCUUAAUUGGGAUGGGAACUGACUGGUGAGGCUUAAUCGUCGACCAAUGGGUCGAAUCUGCAUAAGGAAGGCAACCAGCACACACUCGCAGGCGGGUCGUGGAAACAUUUUUUGUUUUUUCUCUUGGUCUGCCCCCGCGUCGAAUUUUGAAGGCAGAAAAUGUCGGGAGGAGGCGAGCAUAACCAGGCCUAACUUAAACCUGUUAAAAGACAACCCGGGUUCGCUGCGCGAUUUUAAAAAACAAGAUUGUAGAAGUCAGAAAUUCUAUCUACAUGCUGCAUGUGAUCAGUCCCAAAAAAUUUCGGAUUGUUCCAGGCACCGUCGAAUACCUGGAAAACGUGUUUAAUGUCAACUCUAGAGGAUCGACCGAAGUCCAUGGAGUUGGAGGCACUCGAUGUGCCCCAUAGCAGUGAGACCACACUGUUUUUUUUCGCCGUGUAAUUAUUAUGGUGGGACUGAAAACGAACUUAGGCAAGAUAUGAUGGUGAUACAGUAUGGCUUGGAGAACUUCAAAAUUUCGGUUCGCGUCGUGGUUCCAAAGCAGUAAUUUUAGGUUCUCUACAUUUAUAGAAUGUUGCAUUAAGUACUCAUUUUUUAAUAUGCAAUUUUUUACAUAUAUUUUUACAUUUUUUCUUACUCUU